rnacentral:rRNA from 1 species
UACAGAGGUGGCAAGCGUUGUUCGGAAUUACUGGGCGUAAAGAGCGCGCAGGCGGUCGUGCAAGUCGCGUGUGAAAGCCCCCGGCUCAACUGGGGAGGGUCACGCGAUACUGUUCGACUCGAAGGCAGGAGAGGGAAGCGGAAUUCCCGGUGUAGUGGUGAAAUGCGUAGAUAUCGGGAGGAACACCAGUGGCGAAGGCGGCUUCCUGGCCUGUUCUUGACGCUGAGGCGCGAAAGCUAGGGUAGCAAACGGG